CCUACGGGAGGCAGCAGUGAGGAAUAUUGGUCAAUGGCCGGAAGGCUGAACCAGCCAUGCCGCGUGAAGGUCAGUGCCCUAUGGGCGUUAAACUUCUUUUGUGCGGGAGCAAUAAUGGUCACGUGUGGCCAGACGAGAGUACCGUACGAAUAAGCAUCGGCUAACUCCGGGCCAGCAGCCGCGGUAAUACGGGGGAUGCAAGCGUUAUCCGGAUUUAUUGGGGUUAAAGGGUGCGUAGGCUGUGAGGUAAGUCAGCGGUGAAAUGCCCCCGCUCAACGGGGUGAAGUGCCAUUGAUACUGCCUUGCUGGAAUGCGGAUGCCGUGGGAGGAAUGUGUGGUGUAGCGGUGAAAUGCAUAGAUAUCACACAGAACACCGAUUGCGAAGGCAUCUCACGAAUCCGCGAUUGACGCUGAUGCACGAAAGCGUGGGUAUCAAACAGGAUUAGAUACCCGUGUAGUC
rnacentral:rRNA from 1 species